GACGAACGCUGGCGGCGUGCUUAACACAUGCAAGUCGAGCGGUAAGGCUCCUUCGGGAGUACACGAGCGGCGAACGGGUGAGUAACACGUGAGCAAUCUGCCCUUCACACGGGGAUAACUUCGUGAAACCGAAGCUAAUACCCGAUACGACCACUUCAGGCAUCCGAUGGUGGUGGAAAGUUCCGGGGAUGAAGGAUGAGCUCGCGGCCUAUCAGCUUGUUGGUGGGGUAAUGGCCCACCAAGGCAACGGCGGGUGGCCGGCCUGAGAGGGUGACCGACCACACUGGGACUGAGACACGGCCCAGACUCCUACGGGAGGCAGCAGUGGGGAAUAUUGGACAAUGGGCGAAAGCCUGAUCCAGCAACGCCGCGUGAGGGAUGACGGCCUUCGGGUUGUAAACCUCUUUCAGCAGGGACGAAGCGCAAGUGACGGUACCUGCAGAAGAAGCACCGGCCAACUACGUGCCAGCAGCCGCCGUAAGAC
rnacentral:rRNA from 1 species